rnacentral:rRNA from 1 species
CAGCCGCCGCGGGAAUACGUAGGGUGCAAGCGUUAAUCGGAAUUACUGGGUGUAAAGCGUGCGCAGGCGGUUUGUUAAGACAGAUGUGAAAUCCCCGGGCUCAACCUGGGAACUGCAUUUGUGACUGGCAAGCUAGAGUGUGGCAGAGGGGGGUGGAAUUCCGCGUGUAGCAGUGAAGUGCGUAGAUAUGCGGAGGAACACCGAUGGCGAAGGCAGCCCCCUGGGACAACACUGACGCUGAGGCACGAAAGCGUGGGGAGCAAACAGGAUUAGAUACCCCUGUAGUCCCUGUCUCUUAUAC